rnacentral:rRNA from 1 species
GACGUCGGGUCCAAGCGUUGUCCGGAUUUACUGGGCGUAAAGCGCGCGUAGGCGGUCUGUUAAGUGCACAAGUGAAAGCUCCGGGCUCAACUCGGAAAUUGCUUUGCAUACUGGCAGGCUGGAGGGACGCAGAGGUCUGUGGAAUUCCUGGUGUAACGGUGAAAUGUGUUGAUAUCAGGAGGAACACCCAUGGCGAAGGCAGCAGACUGGGCGUUUCCUGACGCUGAGGCGCGAAAGCGUGGGUAGCAAACAGG